rnacentral:rRNA from 1 species
AUUGAACGCUGGCGGCAGGCCUAACACAUGCAAGUCGAGCGGAGCGGCGGACGGGUGAGUAAUGCCUAUGAAUCUACCUGGUAGUGGGGGAUAACGUCCGGAAACGGGCGCUCAUACCGCAUACUAUCAGAUGAGCCUGGGUCGGGUUAGCUAGGUGGAGGGGUAAAGGCCUAACAAGGCGACGAUCCGUCACUGGUCUGAGAGGAUGAGCAGUCAAACUGGAACUGAGACACGGUCCAGACUCCUACGGGAGGCAGCAGUGGGGAAUAUUGGACAAUGGGCGAAAGCCUGAUCCAGCCAUGCCGCGUGUGUGAAGAAGGUCUUCGGAUUGUAAAGCACUUUAAGUUGGGAGGCGUUACCAACAGAAUAAGCACCGGCUAACGUCGUGCCAGCAGCCGCGGUAAUUC